UUCUUAUCGAGAGAGAUGGAGGGACUGACCCGAUGAUAUCUCAGCAACCAGCAAUACGAUUGCCCGGUGCUAAUUUCAGAAGAAUACGGAAGUAUUCUAAAGAUGAGAA
rnacentral:ncRNA from 2 species